UUGUAAAAUUCAGUGUUGGGAACCUUAUAUAUGCUGUGUAGACAUUCGAAGGAAUUCAGGCUAUCAUUCUGAUAAAGUUGGGGGAUUUCUGUCAGGCCAUAUCUUCUCCAUGUUCCUACACCCAAAUCAGGGAUAAGAUGGUCAAGGACCGCUAAUGGGGUUGGAUUCACUAUGGAGAUGGGAUUC